rnacentral:rRNA from 1 species
CCUACGGGAGGCAGCAGUGGGGAAUAUUGGGCAAUGGGCGAAAGCCUGACCCAGCAACGCCGCGUGAAGGAAGAAGGCGUUCGGGUUGUAAACUUCUUUUGACAGGGAAGAGCAGAAGACGGUACCUGUCGAAUAAGCCACGGCUAACUACGUGCCAGCAGCCGCGGUAAUACGUAGGUGGCAAGCGUUGUCCGGAUUUACUGGGGGUAAAGGGCGUGUAGCCGGGCUGACAAGUCAGAUGUGAAAUCCGGGGGCUCAACCCCCGAACUGCAUUUGAAACUGUUGGUCUUGAGUAUCGGAGAGGCAGGCGGAAUUCCUAGUGUAGCGGUGAAAUGCGUAGAUAUUAGGAGGAACACCAGUGGCGAAGGCGGCCUGCUGGACGACAACUGACGGUGAGGCGCGAAAGCGUGGGGAGCAAACAGGAUUAGAUACCCGAGUAGUC